rnacentral:rRNA from 1 species
UGGGGAAUUUUGGACAAUGGGGGAAACCCUGAUCCAGCCAUCCCGCGUGUGCGAUGAAGGCCUUCGGGUUGUAAAGCACUUUUGGCAGGAAAGAAACGUCAUGGGUUAAUACCCCGUGAAACUGACGGUACCAGCAGAAUAAGCACCGGCUAACUACGUGCCAGCAGCCGCGGUAAUACGUAGGGUGCAAGCGUUAAUCGGAAGUACUGGGCGUAAAGCGUGCGCAGGCGGUUCGGAAAGGAAGAUGUGAAAUCCCAGAGCUCAACUUUGGAACUGCAUUUUUAACUACCGGGCUAGAGUGUGUCAGGGGAGGGUGGAAUUCCGCGGGUAGCAGUGAAAUGCGUAGAUAUGCGGAGGAACACCGAUGGGGAAGGCAGCCUCCUGGGGUAACACUGACGCUAAUGCUCGAAAGCGUGGGGAGCAAACAGG